GGCGGACGGGUGAGUAAUGCUUAGGAAUCUGCCUAUUAGUGGGGGACAACAUUCCGAAAGGAAUGCUAAUACCGCAUACGUCCUACGGGAGAAAGCAGGGGACCUUCGGGCCUUGCGCUAAUAGAUGAGCCUAAGUCGGAUUAGCUAGUUGGUGGGGUAAAGGCCUACCAAGGCGACGAUCUGUAGCGGGUCUGAGAGGAUGAUCCGCCACACUGGGACUGAGACACGGCCCAGACUCCUACGGGAGGCAGCAGUGGGGAAUAUUGGACAAUGGGGGGAACCCUGAUCCAGCCAUGCCGCGUGUGUGAAGAAGGCCUUUUGGUUGUAAAGCACUUUAAGCGAGGAGGAGGCUACUAGUAUUAAUACUACUGGAUAGUGGACGUUACUCGCAGAAUAAGCACCGGCUAACUCUGUGCCAGCAGCCGCGGUAAUACAGAGGGUGCGAGCGUUAAUCGGAUUUACUGGGCGUAAAGCGUGCGUAGGCGGCUGAUUAAGUCGGAUGUGAAAUCCCUGAGCUUAACUUAGGAAUUGCAUUCGAUACUGGUCAGCUAGAGUAUGGGAGAGGAUGGUAGAAUUCCAGGUGUAGCGGUGAAAUGCGUAGAGAUCUGGAGGAAUACCGAUGGCGAAGGCAGCCAUCUGGCCUAAUACUGACGCUGAGGUACGAAAGCAUGGGGAGCAAACAGGAUUAGAUACCCUGGUAGUCCAUGCCGUAAACGAUGUCUACUAGCCGUUGGGGCCUUUGAGGCUUUAGUGGCGCAGCUAACGCGAUAAGUAGACCGCCUGGGGAGUACGGUCGCAAGACUAAAACUCAAAUGAAUUGACGGGGGCC
rnacentral:rRNA from 1 species